GAGGCGUCGAGCGGCGAACGGGUGAGUAACGCGUAGGAAUCUGCCUGAUAGUGGGGGAUAGCCCGGGGAAACCCGGAUUAAUACCGCAUACGCCCUACGGGGGAAAGCAGGGGAUCUUCGGACCUUGCACUAUUGGAUGAGCCUGCGUUGGAUUAGCUAGUUGGUGAGGUAAAAGCUCACCAAGGCGACGAUCCAUAGCUGGUCUGAGAGGAUGAUCAGCCACACUGGAACUGAGACACGGUCCAGACUCC
rnacentral:rRNA from 1 species